AUUGAACGCUGGCGGCAUGCCUUACACAUGCAAGUCGAACGGCAGCACGGGUGCUUGCACCUGGUGGCGAGUGGCGAACGGGUGAGUAAUACAUCGGAACAUGUCCUGUAGUGGGGGAUAGCCCGGCGAAAGCCGGAUUAAUACCGCAUACGAUCUACGGAUGAAAGCGGGGGACCUUCGGGCCUCGCGCUAUAGGGUUGGCCGAUGGCUGAUUAGCUAGUUGGUGGGGUAAAGGCCUACCAAGGCGACGAUCAGUAGCUGGUCUGAGAGGACGACCAGCCACACUGGGACUGAGACACGGCCCAGACUCCUACGGGAGGCAGCAGUGGGGAAUUUUGGACAAUGGGCGAAAGCCUGAUCCAGCAAUGCCGCGUGUGUGAAGAAGGCCUUCGGGUUGUAAAGCACUUUUGUCCGGAAAGAAAUCCU
rnacentral:rRNA from 3 species